UCUAUUCCAUGAGGUGCGGUCGCGGCCCUCGGCGGGAGCAACAGCUACCGUCGGGCGGUAGAGGUAACACUUUCACGCGCCGCAUGUCUGAAUCCUUUUUUUACGAGCACCUUUCGUUCUCCUUCGGCGGGGCAACCUGCCGUUGGAACCUAUCAAAACCUUUUUUUGCAUCUAGCAUUACCUGUUCUGAUACAAACAAUCGUUA
rnacentral:misc_RNA from 1 species